rnacentral:lncRNA from 1 species
AAUGCCUCUAUUCACGAAUGAGAACCAGAAGGACAUGGGAAAAGGGAAGUAGAAUAAUAGAAGAGAUGGUCAAGAAAAUCCCCUCACCUGCCACAGGUCCCUCAAAAUGUAUGUUUCAGGCUCCACAAGGCUUGAGCUUGCCCCUUCUCCAUGCUGUGAGGGAAAGACUGGGCUGAGCAUGGAUUUGGAAUUCGUGAACCCAGGAUGUGAUGGGAACAUUCCUCACGUGACUCAUUCAUGGUCCGUCAUCUCCCAACCUUCAGAGCAGUGCACAGUCAUCCACAUGGGACAGCUGCUCCAGACCUGGCGGCUGGGACUCACCCUCAAAACACCUUUGACAGGAAUCAGAGCAAAAUGCCAGCCCAGGGAAGACUCUGGAGUUCCUGCGCUUCAGGAAAAGGACAGCCUUUGGUGUUUGGCCCUGAAGCCAUCCCAGGAGGAGCAAACCCAGGAGCAGAGAUGUGGCAGAGGAGAGGGCAAGAGGGAGAAGCCAGCUCUGCUCCUCCCUGACUCCAAGUACACGGGCAAGCUACUGAUGUCUAUGAAGCUCUAUUUUCUGUUCCGAAAAGUGGACAUGAUAAACACUGACCUUUUGGAAAUCCCAUCGGGACCCGCCGGACCCGCCGGACCCACCGGAGCCGCAGAGUCUGUGCGCCAGCGCUGGAAGGGGAGGUGA